rnacentral:rRNA from 1 species
CGGGACGGGGUGAGUAAUGUCUGGGAAACUGCCUGAUGGAGGGGGGUAACUACUGGAAACGGUAGCUAAUACCGCAUAACGUCGCAAGACCAAAGAGGGGGACCUUCGGGCCUCUUGCCAUCGGAUGUGCCCAGAUGGGAUUAGCUAGUAGGUGGGGUAACGGCUCACCUAGGCGACGAUCCCUAGCUGGUCUGAGAGGAUGCCAGCCACACUGGAACUGAGACACGGUCCAG